UACGUAGGUAGCGAGCGUUGUUCGGAGUUACUGGGCGUAAAGGGUGUGUAGGCGGUUCUUUAAGUUUGGUGUGAAAUCUCCCGGCUCAACCGGGAGGGUGCGCCGAAUACUGAGGGACUUCGAGUGCGGGAGAGGAAAGUGGAAUUCCUGGUGUAGCGGUGAAAUGCGUAGAUAUCAGGAGGAACACCGGUGGUGUAGACGGCUUUCUGGACCGUAACUGACGCUGAGACACGAAAGCGUGGGUAGCAAACAGG
rnacentral:rRNA from 1 species